UGUUUGAUGUUCUAACGUGGACCCGUAAUCCGGGUUGCGGACAGUGUCUGGUGGGUAGUUUGACUGGGGCGGUCUCCUCCUAAAGAGUAACGGAGGAGCACGAAGGUUGGCUAAUCCUGGUCGGACAUCAGGAGGUUAGUGCAAUGGCAUAAGCCAGCUUGACUGCGAGCGUGACGGCGCGAGCAGGUGCGAAAGCAGGUCAUAGUGAUCCGGUGGUUCUGAAUGGAAGGGCCAUCGCUCAACGGAUAAAAGGUACUCCGGGGAUAACAGGCUGAUACCGCCCAAGAGUUCAUAUCGACGGCGGUGUUUGGCACCUCGAUGUCGGCUCAUCACAUCCUGGGGCUGAAGUAGGUCCCAAGGGUAUGGCUGUUCGCCAUUUAAAGUGGUACGCGAGCUGGGUUUAGAACGUCGUGAGACAGUUCGGUCCCUAUCUGCCGUGGGCGCUGGAGAACUGAGGGGGGCUGCUCCUAGUACGAGAGGACCGGAGUGGACGCAUCACUGGUGUUCGGGUUGUCAUGCCAAUGGCACUGCCCGGUAGCUAAAUGCGGAAGAGAUAAGUGCUGAAAGCAUCUAAGCACGAAACUUGCCCCGAGAUGAGUUCUCCCUGAGACUUAGAGUCUCCUGAAGGAACGUUGAAGACGACGACGUUGAUAGGCCGGGUGUGUAAGCGCAGCGAUGCGUUGAGCUAACCGGUACUAAUGAACCGUGAGGCUUAACCUUACAACGCCGAA
rnacentral:rRNA from 1 species